UUGGACUUGAAGGAAAUCCCUCCGCCUCCAAGCUUGGGUCGUGAUGGCAAGCCAAAACAAUGGUUCGGGAGCUGCAGGAAGAAGAUACAGAAAGCAAGAUUUUAGGAAUCAAUUAGAGAUGUUCUUUAAUCUUUUGAAGUUUAAUGAUGUAAAUUUAAUAGCUAUAGAGACUUUCAAUUUUUUUUGGUAUGAAAACAACAGAAUUGAUCAUGUAAACUGUUAACAGGAAAAUAUUUGUUUCAAUUUCCA
rnacentral:lncRNA from 1 species